rnacentral:tRNA from 1 species
UCCCUGGUGGUCCAGUGGCUAAGACUGUAAGCCCCCUCUGAAUGUGGGGGCCCAGGUUCAAUCCCUGGUCAGGGAA